UAUAGUCAAUCAACAGGUUAAUGCACAACGUCGUCUAAGUUUAAAAGAAAAAUUUGAAAUAAAAAAAAAAAAACUUUAACAAAUACUGUGGUGCAUUUAACACAACUAAAAGAGAGCAAAGUAUCAAGAGAGUGUUUAAUAAAUAUUAAAAUAAAUUUUCCCUUUAAAUCAAUCAACUAAAACACAAUGCAUAUGACAAUUUCCCUCAAUCAGCCUUGGGCCUAUUUGUUCACCCUACAAAUUUUACUGGCUAUGACUCUACUAAGGCACAAAUCUAGGAACGGUCUGUGCUAAUGCUGUUACUCCCGAAAUUCCCACAGUUAGCGACAAUGAAAAUGAUUUAUGAUGGAUAAUGAUGAUGAUAUGGUGCAUUCAUGGGAUAAGAGAGAGGCACAAACAUGGGGUGAUUUAAUGCAUCCAUGGGGUAAGAGGGAAGCCAAUUUUGAUAGCGCCAUGAUGGAAAAUGGAGAAGUGGUGCCAGUAUUGGCAUUUUUUGCAAAUCCCGCCCCGCGCUAACUAUGAAAACAAUGAUGUCGAAAAUGAGAAUAUUCUGAAUGAAAAGAGAGGUUGGAAGAAAAAUGAAUGUUGCCUGGGGUAAGAGACGUAAUGCUGGACCCUACAUGAAUAGAGAUUUUGUACCUUCUGCUGCAGGCGCCAGUUCUUGGGGUAAACGUGAACCCAAUUGAAUAAUUUGAAGGGAAUGUGGGCAAGCGGGGCCGGCAAUAAGGAAUGGCGUAAAUUAGCUGGUAGCUGGGGGUAAACGCUCAGGACAAUUAGCUGAAAACCAAUAAAUUCGGAAAAACCAUAAGACAACAAGGAUUCUAUAUGUAAGUAAUU